UCCAGGUCACCGGGUGAAGGGCGCAGUGGAAAUGCCCUCUUUGAUGUUUCUGGAGUAGGCACUUGAGAUUCUAAGUGCUGUACCUAGGUGGCCUGGGAACGCCGGCAGGAGGACAGCUCCGUAAAUCCAACGUUGACCGGGUCCCUUCCUGAGAACACGGGAUUUGUCAAGGACCAAACAUGUGACGGCUUGAAGCUCUGUGGUGAAAAUAUUUCAAAGCCACUAAAAUUGGACCAAGCAACUCACAUUAAAAUCAUCUGGAAGAGUGGUUUGUAACCUAGGAAAUCAUGAAUGCUGUAAUACUGGGCUUCAAUAUUAGAGGUAAAGUUGUAAUACUGUAAUUUCAAUAGGUAAAAGUAUAAACAUGGAUAUCAUGGUAGGUGUCCAGAGAGAGAGUCAGUGGGAAAGUGAAUCAUGUGAUCACGUGUCACAUAAAGUUAAAUAAGUGUGUGAGUACAUGAAGUGUGUGCGCGCACACACAUGUGUACACACAUGCACCAGUCCACCUCAUGAAGGAAUCAAGAUUAUUUUCAACACUCACUUGUCAGAGUCUUGAGUAAUUUAUGGACACACUUGGAACCCUUACUUAGCCAGUACCAUGUUGGCUGUGAGAACCAAGAGAGGAAGCGCAGCCUCUCUGCGCGGACACUUUCUCAUCGCAGCAGAUGUGGAGGAGGCUGCCGGGCAGGUCCUCCAUACCUACCUUCUCCCAGCCAUGGGGCCAAGCUGUGUCCCUCUUUAUGGAACACAGUCUAAGCAGGCUCGAGGGGCAGAGAAGUCAAUAAACAGUUGCAAAUUGAAUCUCACUUUCCACAACAAGAGAACAAAAACCCUGGGAGGAAAGCUAUCAUCAUCAUCAUCAUCAUCAUCAUCAUCAUCAUCAUCAUCAUCAUCAUCAUCAUCAUUGCUAUCCUCAUCAUCCUGCAAUGGAUAAAGGAAAAUGCCCGGAGGUGUUUACCUGAUGUGGUCCACAACUGCCUUUUGCCUCUGAUUCCUACUGGACUCAAACGCUCAGAAGAUGCCAGGUGCACACCAGGAGGUGCCAGGUGCCCUUUUCAGGAGUGGAGUCCUGCUGCUGUUCGGUGGCCUGGCUGGAGAGGAGGACAUAUGGGUGAUGGGCCAUCCUGGCUGUGGGGUUCAGGACAAUCCUACCCGGGGACCCCCAGGGCCAUGUGGGCACGAGCGGCACAGCACAAGGCCAAGUGCAAAUUGUUUUAAAAUAUGAGAACGAGCUCUGUUCAGGUGCUGCCAAAGAGCUCUCCAUUUCAGCCCAGAGUGAUUCUGUGCGCGUUUUCUACGAUCAUCCAAUAAAGAGGCAACUGUU